CCAAUUUAUAGGCGACCUUUUGGCUAAGAUUAAGUGUAGUAUUUAUUCUUAUCAGUUUAAUAUUUGAUAUAAAGAAUUAAAUUAAUAUCUAUUACCCGCACACAUUCAUGCAACUAGGGGCGAAGCCACGUAUAGCUUUGGUGGGACAAUUGUCCCACCUCAAUUUUUUGAAUUGUCCCACCUCAAUUUUUUGUAAGUACCCCU